AUUGAACGCUGGCGGCAGGCCUAACACAUGCAAGUCGAGCGGGGUUUUCGAACCUAGCGGCGGACGGGGGAGUAAUGCUUAGGAAUCUGCCUAUUAGUGGGGGACAACAUCUCGAAAGGGAUGCUAAUACCGCAUACGUCCUACGGGAGAAAGAAGGGGACCUUCGGGCCUUGCGCUAAUAGAUGAGCCUAGGUCGGAUUAGCUAGUUGGUGGGGUAAAGGCCUACCAAGGCGACGAUCUGUAGCGGGUCUGAGAGGAUGAUCCGCCACACUGGGACUGAGACACGGCCCAGACUCCUACGGGAGGCAGCAGUGGGGAAUAUUGGACAAUGGGGGGAACCCUGAUCCAGCCAUGCCGCGUGUGUGAAGAAGGCCUUUUGGUUGUAAAGCACUUUAAGCGAGGAGGAGGCUACCGAGAUUAAUACUCUUGGAUAGUGGACGUUACUCGCAGAAUAAGCACCGGCUAACUCUGUGCCAGCCGCCGCAGUAAAAC
rnacentral:rRNA from 1 species